rnacentral:rRNA from 1 species
UACGAAGGGGGCUAGCGUUGUUCGGAAUUACUGGGCGUAAAGCGCGCGCAGGCGGCUAUCCAAGUCAGUGGUGAAAGCCCGGAGCUCAACUCCGGAACUGCCAUUGAAACUGUUUAGCUGGAGUAUGAGAGAGGUGAGUGGAAUUCCCAGUGUAGAGGUGAAAUUCGUAGAUAUUGGGAAGAACACCAGUGGCGAAGGCGGCUCACUGGCUCAUUUCUGACGCUCAGGCGCGACAGCGUGGGGAUCAAACAGG